rnacentral:rRNA from 1 species
UACGAAGGGGGCUAGCGUUGCUCGGAAUUACUGGGCGUAAAGCGCACGUAGGCGGCUUUCUAAGUCGGGGGUGAAAUCCUGGAGCUCAACUCCAGAACUGCCUUCGAUACUGGAAAGCUCGAGUCCGGGAGAGGUGAGUGGAACUGCGAGUGUAGAGGUGAAAUUCGUAGAUAUCAGGAGGAACACCGGUGGCGAAGGCGGGACUCUGGGCCGAUACUGACGCUGAGGAGCGAAAGCGUGGGGAGCGAACAGG